UACGGGGGGGGGCAAGCGUUGUUCGGAAUUACUGGGGGUAAAGGGCUCGUAGGCGGCCAACUAAGUCAGACGUGAAAUCCCUCGGCUUAACCGGGGAACUGCGUCUGAUACUGGAUGGCUUGAGGUUGGGAGAGGGAUGCGGAAUUCCUGGUGUAGCGGUGAAAUGCGUAGAUAUCAGGAGGAACACCGAUGGCGAAGGCAGCUCUCUGGCCCGAAACUGACGCUGAGGUGCGAAAGCGUGGGGAGCGAACGGG
rnacentral:rRNA from 1 species